rnacentral:tRNA from 1 species
AUAAAUAUAGCUUAAUAUUAAAGCCUCUAACUGUUAAUUAGAAGAUUACUUACAUUUAGUUAUUUAUA